GGGAUCAUAGUUAAUAAUAACAUUUGAGUUGCAUUCAAAAAGUACUUACCCAAAAGUUGAUCUCA
rnacentral:tRNA from 1 species